UGAUUGAUAAUCAGUGCUAAAUUAUUCCAGAAAAGCAGUAUUCUAAUUAUCAACGAUGUCAUUUUUCUUGUAUUAAUUAUUACAGGUCUGGAACAUUCCUUAGGCUGUGGUUCGUAAAACAAAUGGCCAUGGUCUGUACACCUAAAUACCUCAUUAUGUUGACAUUGUUCAGGGCUUGUCAACGCUAAAUAUUUGUGAUAUUAUUACGUUCAGCAUAUAUGCAUAGCUUUAUUUACAGCUGCUGAACAGAGCACAGCAAUCUUAUUUCACCUUUUUACACUUUUAGCAUACGCAUGUGUCCAUUUUUCUUAGUACUUCUUAUUUGAUGUCUUACACAGUUAAGUGUGUAAUUGUUAAGUUUUUUUGUGUAGAAAAUUUUAUAUAUUUUAUGAUUAAUUAAUAAUAAUCUAUGAUCAUUACUUUGUUUGUAAAAGAGCAUGUUGUUAAUGGAAUCCCCUUUGUUCAUCACCUUGCAGAAUUUAUGUCUGUCAAGAAACGUUUAACCUUAUGUGGCAGGAUCAGGCUUCAGGGACAUAAAACUUACACAAGCUCACUUUUGAUCUCAGUCUCACUUCUACUACUGGAGGAUAAAGUGAAAAUGAUGGAGAUCAAAUAGGGAGUUGGUCUUAACUUUUUUGGUCUUGUGGCCAGAUUUCUGAUGUAAAGAAUGAUCCCAGGGCAGUUUUGUAAAAAUGAUUAUUCAGAGAAUAAUGUGAAAAGUAGACAUAUGACAAAAAGUUAUCUUCUGAUUUUGUAUGAAAAAAGUUUUUAAAAAGUCCACGAUCAGUGAAUACUGUAAAUCAACUAUUAUAACCGACAUCUUUUAUUCAUAUGUCAGUUUGAAAUCAAACUUUGAGACAGAUGAAACAUUCUUUAUAAGUGCAUUGCAAAUUAUUUGGUGUACAGCGAUUAAUAUUCGUGAAUUCAAGUAGGUUGCGAAACUUGAUGAUAUUUCUCACACAUUAAUAAAAGUUGGUUUACAGUACAUUAAUUCCAAGGUUGCUGGUCAACAAGCAUGAAAUUCUGAGGUGUACAUUGGAUGCUGCCCUAGACACCACAGGGUGUAAUGGAUAAUGAUGAUGAUUAUGGAUACUAACUACAGCUAGCUUGUCAAAAAGGGAGGAUAGUAGGACUGCAUGUUUGUUCUGUUCCUUUGUUUUUUGGGGAGUGAGUGUUUAGAUUUCAUAAAAAAUGUAUUUUACAUAUCGUUACAAAUGGGUUUUUCUGUUAUAAUUUUGUGUUGUAUGAUUUAUAGAUUAUUGUGUGUAGUUUUGUCUUGCUUAUUAAUUUAUGAUUUAAGCCAUAUGAUUAAAUACCAGAUGUAUUUAUUAGUUAGGAUAACUUGUUUUACUUUAUACAAAAAUUAUAUAUCUAUUACGAUUGUAUUAAAGUUUGCGGACAGACGAAA